UUGGUAGGGUAAUGGCCUACCAAGGCAACGAUCUGUAGCUGGUCUGAGAGGACGAUCAGCCACACUGGGACUGAGACACGGCCCAGACUCCUACGGGAGGCAGCAGUAGGGAAUAUUGGACAAUGGGCGAAAGCCUGAUCCAGCAAUGCCGCGUGUGUGAAGAAGGCCUGCGGGUUGUAAAGCACUUUCAGUUGGGAAGAAAAGUUUUAGGCCAAUACCCUAGAAUCUUGACGUUACCAAUAGAAGAAGCACCGGCUAACUCUGUGCCAGCAGCCGCGGUAAGACAGAGGGUGCGAGCGUUAAUCGGAAUUACUGGGCGUAAAGCGUGCGUAGGUGGCUGAGUCAGUCUGAUGUGAAAGCCCAAGGCUUAACCUUGGAAUUGCAUUCGAUACUGCUCAGCUAGAGUAUAGUAGAGGGAAGCGGAAUUCCUAGUGUAGCGGUGAAAUGCGUAGAUAUUAGGAAGAACAUCAGUGGCGAAGGCGGCUUCCUGGACUAAUACUGACACUGAGGCACGAAAGCGUGGGGAGCAAACAGGAUUAGAUACCCUGGUAGUCCACGCCCUAAACGAUGAGAACUAGAUGUUGGGGGAAAUUAAUCCCUUAGUAUCGCAGCUAACGCGAUAAGUUCUCCGCCUGGGGAGUACGGCCGCAAGGUUAAAACUCAAAUGAAUUGACGGGGACCCGCACAAGCGGUGGAGCAUGUGGUUUAAUUCGAUGCAACGCGAAGAACCUUACCUGGCCUUGACAUCCUUGGAAUCUCGCAGAGAUGUGGGAGUGCCUUCGGGAACCAAGAGACAGGUGCUGCAUGGCUGUCGUCAGCUCGUGUCGUAAAUAACUUGCGACCUACAGGAGUGAUCCUGUAGAAAAAUCCAGCUUAUAACGGUGAAACCCUAACAGAUAUGCUGAGGGCAAUACCGUGGGAAGUUCAGGAAAUGUCCAUAACUUUGAAACAAGAACAGUUAGUGAUUGGAACUUUGCUAGGAGAUGGCUAUCUUUAUUUGAAUGGGCGUUUACAGAUUGAACAUCAAGAAAAAUUUAAGUCUUAUGUUYUAUGGAAACAUAAAAUGCUUCAAUCCAUCGUUUCUGGCAUUCCUAAAAGGUGUGUUCGAUUCGACAAAAGAACGAAUAAAGAAUAUGUUUCGUGGCGGUUUUACACUAAAACGGUUUUUCAGAAUUAUCGCAAUUGUUUUUAUCCGAAUGGAAAAAAAGUUGUGCCUGAAAAUGUGUUUCAGUUGCUUGUUUCUCCACUUGCAUUAGCAGUGUGGUUUAUGGAUGAUGGUGGUAGAGGGGCAAAAACUCCAAAAGGGUUAGUUAUUAGUGCAGCAGGAUUUUCUUCAGCAGAACAUAUUUUGUUGAAGGAAUGUUUGAAGAGGAAUUUUCGAUUAAGUGUAAACAUACACAAAAAUGGGCAAUUCUAUAUUCCUGCAUUAUCUUAUAAAUGCUUUUAUGAGUUAGUCACUCCUUAUAUUAUACCGUCAAUGCGGUAUAAACUUCCUGUAACCCCGUAACGACUGAGGCGUAAGCCUAGAUAACAAUUGGUAUCCAUCUGGAUAAAUUUAUGAUUGUUAUAAUACGCUGGCUCUUACUUAACUACCUAGUAAGAUGAAGAUAUAGUCUAAACCCCUAAGAAAUUUGGGGAGUUAUUUGGAGAUGUUGGGUUAAGUCCCGCAACGAGCGCAACCCUUGUCCCUAGUUGCCAGCGAUUCGGUCGGGAACUCUAGAGAGACUGCCGGUGACAAACCGGAGGAAGGUGGGGAUGACGUCAAGUCAUCAUGGCCCUUACGGCCAGGGCUACACACGUGCUACAAUGGGUAGUACAGAGGGUUGCAAACCCGCGAGGGGGAGCUAAUCUCACAAAACUACUCGUAGUCCGGAUUGGAGUCUGCAACUCGACUCCAUGAAGUCGGAAUCGCUAGUAAUCGCGAAUCAGAAUGUCGCGGUGAAUACGUUCCCGGGUCUUGUACACACCGCCCGUCACACCAUGGGAGUGGGUUGUACCAGAAGUAGGUAGUCUAACCUUCGGGAGGACGCUUACCACGGUAUGAUUCAUGACUGGGGUGAAGUCGUAACAAGGUAGCCGUAGGGGAACCUGCGGCUGGAUCACCUCCUUUAAAGAGAUAGUGAGUAUCAGUCUACGACGUUGAGUAUCCACACAAAUUACUUGAUUAAUGGGCCUGUAGUUCAGCAGGUUAGAACGCAUCCCUGAUAAGGAUGAGGUCGGUGGUUCGAGUCCACCCAGGCCCACCAUUGGGGCUAUAGCUCAGCUGGGAGAGCACCUGCUUUGCACGCAGGGGGUCAGCGGUUCAAUCCCGCUUAGCUCCACCAAAGGCCCAUUAGUGUUUAGUGGUAAGUAUUGAUUUUUCAAUCUUUACCACUAAACAUUAAUUUUARUGAUUGKUCUUUAAAAAUUARGAAAUUGAUGUAAAGUACCAAAAUAUUAUUUAUUUUGGGUAUAUUGCAUUCGCAGCAAAUAAAACUUAUAACUUCAGAAUUUUUGGGGUUAUAGGGUCAAGU
rnacentral:tRNA from 1 species